AAGCGGAGGGAUCAUUAUCGAGUUCUAAACUCCAAACCCUAUGUGAACUUACCACUGUUGCCUCGGCGGGGGAGCCUACCCUGUAGCGACCUACCCCGCCGGCGGACCGUCAAACUCUGUUUUAUUGUGGCAUUCUGAAUCAAAACCAAAUAAGUUAAAACUUUCAACAACGGAUCUCUUGGUUCUGGCAUCGAUGAAGAACGCAGCGAAAUGCGAUAAGUAAUGUGAAUUGCAGAAUUCAGUGAAUCAUCGAAUCUUUGAACGCACAUUGCGCCCACUAGUAUUCUGGUGGGCAUGCCUGUUCGAGCGUCAUUUCAACCCUCAAGCCCUGCUGCUUGGUGUUGGGAGCCUGCCUCACCGCAGCUCCCCAAAGCUAGUUGGCAGAGUUGUGGUAGACUCUAAGCGUAGUAAUUUGUUCUCGCUUCUGAGGCUGCCGCGGCUAUCGCCACAAACCUUUUAUCUUCUAGUGGUUGACCUCGGAUCAG
rnacentral:rRNA from 1 species